rnacentral:misc_RNA from 1 species
UGUGGGAGCGGGCUUGCUCGCGAUGCGGGCGACGCGGUUUACCUGAUAGGCCGUGUUGAUUUUAUCGCGAGCAAGCCCGCUCCCACA